CGUCAUCAAACUCAGUUGUGAAUCACAACUUGUGGUAACGAAGAAUUGUUUUGAUAUUUAUGAAGGUAUGUCAGAAGUACAGUUAAAAAUUACCAAAAAUGGUACCACGACGGAGCUUCACGAAACCAUUAAAGAGAACAACAUUGGUGAGCUGAUAGUUUCUCUCCAGGAGCUAAAGAAAUCAUCGAAUGAAGCUAUAACCAAACUGCUGCCGGAAGCUGAGAAUAGAAAUGCACCCAAGAAGUCAGGUGAUGCCCAUCAAUAAAACGCAGAAAAAAAUGAUUGGAAUGAAUGGAAUUCGUGCAUUUUUAUCCAAUCACCCUACAUUGUUGAGAAUGUGAAUAUGUAAAUAAAAUAUUUGAAUACAGUUA